rnacentral:rRNA from 1 species
UUUGGUGGCAUUGGCGGAGGGGAAACACCCGUUCCCAUCCCGAACACGGAAGUAAAGCCCUCCCGCGCCGAUGGUACUGCCGGGG